rnacentral:rRNA from 1 species
UCCGUAGGGGGCGAGCGUUGUCCGGAAUCAUUGGGCGUAAAGAGCUCGUAGGCGGCUCGGUAAGUCGGGUGUGAAACCCCCAGGCUCAACCUGGGGACGCCACCCGAUACUGCUGUGGCUAGAGUCCAGUAGGGGAGUGUGGAAUUCCCGGUGUAGCGGUGAAAUGCGCAGAUAUCGGGAGGAACACCAGCGGCGAAGGCGGCACUCUGGGCUGGAACUGACGCUGAGGAGCGAAAGCGUGGGUAGCAAACAGG